rnacentral:rRNA from 1 species
UGGGGAAUCUUGCGCAAUGGGCGAAAGCCUGACGCAGCGACGCCGCGUGUGGGAUGAAGGUCUUCGGAUUGUAAACCACUGUCGGGAGGGACGAAGCUCUGACGGUACCUCCAAAGGAAGCACCGGCUAACUCCGUGCCAGCAGCCGCGGUAAUACGGAGGGUGCAAGCGUUGUUCGGAAUUACUGGGCGUAAAGCGCGUGUAGGCGGCUAAUUAUGUCAGGUGUGAAAGCCCUCGGCCUAACCGAGGAAGUGCGCCUGAAACUGAUUAGCUUGAGUACGAGAGAGGAGGACGGAAUUCCCAGUGUAGAGGUGAAAUUCGUAGAUAUUGGGAGGAACACCGGUGGCGAAAGCGGUUCUCUGGAUCGAUACUGACGCUAAGACGCGAAAGCGUGGGGAGCAAACAGGAUUAGAUACCCCGGUAGUCCCUGAGCGGGCUGGCAAGGCGCAU